rnacentral:rRNA from 1 species
GUAGGGAAUAUUGCGCAAUGGACGAAAGUCUGACGCAGCGACGCCGCGUGAGUGAUGAAGGCCUUAGGGUCGUAAAGCUCUGUUGAAUGGGAAGAAAAAAAUGACGGUACCAUUCGAGGAAGGACCGGCUAACUUCAUGCCAGCAGCCGCGGUAAUACGAGGGGUCCUAGCGUUGUUCGGAAUCAUUGGGCGUAAAGGGUGUGUAGGUGGCCAUGUAAGUCAGGUGUGAAAGCCCCGGGCUCAACCCGGGAAGUGCACUUGAUACUGCGUGGCUUGAGUACCGAAGAGGGUAGUGGAAUUCCAGGUGUAGUGGUGAAAUACGUAGAUAUCUGGAGGAACACCGGUGGCGAAGGCGGCUACCUGGUCGAGUACUGACACUGAGACACGAAAGCAUGGGGAUCAAACAGGAUUAGAAACCCCGGUAGUCC